GUACUCACUUUGGCAGCGCUUAUACUAAAAUUGGAAUGAUACAGAGAUUAGCAUGGCCUCUGUGCAUGGAUAACAAAAAACUUGUGAAGCAUUUAAUAUUUUA